rnacentral:rRNA from 1 species
GACGAACGCUGGCGGCGUGCCCAAUACAUGCAAGUAGAACGCACAGUUUAUACCGUAGCUUGCUACACCAUAAACUGUGAGUUGCGAACGGGUGAGUAACGCGUAGGUAACCUGCCUGGUAGCGGGGGAUAACUAUUGGAAACGAUAGCUAAUACCGCAUAAUAUUGAUUAUUGCAUGAUAAUUGAUUGAAAGAUGCUAUUGCAUCACUACCAGAUGGACCUGCGUUGUAUUAGCUAGUAGGUGAGGUAACGGCUCACCUAGGCGACGAUACAUAGCCGACCUGCGAGGGUGAUCGGCCACACUGGGACUGAGACACGGCCCAGACUCCUACGGGAGGCAGCAGUAGGGAAUCUUCGGCAAUGGACGAAAGUCUGACCGAGCAACGCCGCGUGAGUGAAGAAGGUUUUCGGAUCGUAAAGCUCUGUUGUAAGAGAAGAACGGGUGUGAGAGUGGAAAGUUCACACUGUGACGGUAUCUUACCAGAAAGGGACGGCUAACUACGUG